AACGAACGCUGGCGGCAUGCCUAACACAUGCAAGUCGAACGAGAUCUUCGGAUCUAGUGGCGCACGGGUGCGUAACGCGUGGGAAUCUGCCCUUGGGUUCGGAAUAACAGUGAGAAAUUACUGCUAAUACCGGAUGAUGUCUUCGGACCAAAGAUUUAUUGCCCAGGGAUGAGCCCGCGUAGGAUUAGCUAGUUGGUGGGGUAAUGGCCUACCAAGGCGACGAUCCUUAGCUGGUCUGAGAGGAUGAUCAGCCACACUGGGACUGAGACACGGCCCAUACUCCUACGGGAGGCAGCAGUGGGGAAUAUUGGACAAUGGGCGAAAGCCUGAUCCAGCAAUGCCGCGUGAGUGAUGAAGGCCUUAGGGUUGUAAAGCUCUUUUACCAGGGAUGAUAAUGACAGUACCUGGAGAAUAAGCUCCGGCUAACUCCGUGCCAGCCGCCGCCGUAA
rnacentral:rRNA from 1 species